GACAGUCAGGGAAACGGGGUAAGGGGGCCGCGAUACUGAAGGGGAGAGACCUCACCUCUCCGCCCGGACUGCCACAUCGCCCCCCAAGCCUGCCUCUGCGUCUCCUGGCCGGCUCUGUGCCACACUGCAGCCUGAGUGGUCUUUUCAACGGAGAGGGCCCAGACCUCCUGCACUGCGGUCACUGCCUUCGGAGCCCCUCUCUGCUUGCCUUCUGACCGGAAUCUUCUGUUACCACGGACAGCCCCAUGCUGACAGCUGCCUUCUCGGACACAACUGUCUCAUCCAGCCACCCCGACUGUGAUCACCUUGGGGCAUGCACUGUGUCCUUGGACACAGCUGGUACAAUGCCUGGCACAGACAAGGAACUCUAUUAGUGCACUUUCAAACUGGUCAAGAUCCACUACCCUGAUUUUCUGACCUGUGAAUACACCAUGAACCCGUGUGUGUGAAGACGUUUGAGAUGCCUGCGGUGGAUCUGAAGGAAGACUGGGAAGUUUUCUGAUGGAUAAAAGGAGGAAUAAAGUAUCUCACGAAGGCCAAGACUGUGCCAGUCCCCAAAGUAUGAACAGCAUGGAGGUCUAGGGCAGCCCAACAUGAUAUACCAAAAAUCCAUGAACCAGAUCCAAAGUCUGUCUGUUUGGCGAUUAGAGUUACCUCUGGAGAGUCCCAACACAGUACGCCAUACAAGAAUAAGAGUUGGAUAAUCAGCGACCAGGCUUGAAGAAGCCCCCAUGGCAAGAAACUGAGGGAGCCUCCAGGCUACAGCCAGUGAGGUGCUGAAUCCUGCCAACAACUCAAGAGGAACCUCGAGAUGACUGCAGCCCCACAUGAUUACAGUCCAGUGAGAGACACUGAGCCAGAGGAUGCAGCCGAGCCACACUCAGAUUCCCAACCCACAGAAACUGUGACAUAAUAAUCCUGUGUUGUUUUCUAAGCCACUAAGUUUUGGGGCCAUUUGUCACACAGCUGUAGAUAACUGAUACAGCUAAUUGGGCAGGAAGGUAUGAGAUAAUACAGAAUAUUUUAGAUUGUGGUGGUUAUCCUUAGGGUUUUCAGCUGCUCCCUAUGAGUGUUCAACCUUGGGACCUACGUGUCAUCCAGCUGGACUUCUGAUCCUGAACCUUUCUGACUCAUAAGACCUAUGUACCAUCUGAAGUUGGGUGCAUAAUGGCUGGAUCUGCAGCAACAGUCUACGGCCACGCAAUGACCUCGAUGAUGGAAACUACAUUCUAAGGAGAGCAGAGCACAGAUAGAAGGAGUCUUGGCUCCUUGGAGGGGAUGACUGGGGAGCCAGCCCUUGACUAUUUGCAUCAGAACUGCUUUUAUACCAGAGAAAAGUCUAGAACUCUGAGGAGAUGGGGCCAGUUGGACCAUUCAGAGGGCCCUGGAUCAGGUUGCCUGGCCUUCACCAAAUCUCCAACUGCAGCCACUGACCGAAGUCUUCUCCACUGCAAGAUAACAGGAGUACACAAGAUUGAACCACACAACCCACAUCCCACCGGUUAGUGCAAGUCUCUUGACCAAGUUCAACAACAGUGCCAUAAGGAGAUAAUCUUCAGCCAGUCUGCCGAGAAGCACUGCAAACCCAA